rnacentral:rRNA from 1 species
GACGAACGCUGGCGGCGUGCCUAAUACAUGCAAGUAGAACGCACAGUUUAUACCGUAUCGUGCUACACCAUAGACUGUGAGUUGCGGACGGGUGAGUAACGCGUAGGUAACCUUCCGGGUAGCGGGGGGUAACUAUAGGUAACGAAAGCUAAUACCGCAUAAUCUUAAUUAUUGCAUGAUAAUUCAUUGAAAGCUGCAAUUGCACCACUGCCAGAUGAACCUGCGUUGGGUUAGCUAGUGGGUGAGGUAACGGCCCACCUAGGCGACGGCACAGAGCCUGCCUGGGGGGGUGGUCGGCCACACUGGGACUGGGACCCGGCCCAGGCUCCUACGGGAGGCAGCAGUAGGGGAUCUUCGGACAUGGGCGGAAGUCUGACCGAGCACCGCCGCGGGAGUGAAGGAGGUUUUCGGAUCGGAAAGCUCUGUUGUAAGAGAAGAACGAGCGGGAGAGUGGAAAGUUCACGCUGUGACGGUAUCUUACCAGAAAGCGACGGCUAACUACGUG